AUUGAACGCUGGCGGCAGGCCUAACACAUGCAAGUCGAGCGGAUGAAGGGAGCUUGCUCCUGGAUUCAGCGGCGGACGGGUGAGUAAUGCCUAGGAAUCUGCCUGGUAGUGGGGGAUAACGUCCGGAAACGGGCGCUAAUACCGCAUACGUCCUGAGGGAGAAAGUGGGGGAUCUUCGGACCUCACGCUAUCAGAUGAGCCUAGGUCGGAGUAGCUAGUUGGUGGGGUAAAGGCCUACCAAGGCGACGAUCCGUAACUGGUCUGAGAGGAGGAUCAGUCACACGGGAACUGAGACACGGACCAUACUCCUACGGGAGGCAGCAGUGGCGAAUAUUAGGCAGUAGUCGAAAGCCUGAUACAGCCAUGCCGCGUGUGUGAAGAAGGUCUUCGGAGUGUAAAGCACUUUAAGUUGGGAUGAAGGGCAGUAAGUUAAUACCUUGCUGGUUUGACGUUACCAACAGAAUAAGCACCGGCUAACUACGUG
rnacentral:rRNA from 1 species